AACGAACGCUGGCGGCGUGCCUAACACAUGCAAGUCGAACGGAGAUAAGGGGCUUGCUCCUUAUUUUAGUGGCGCACGGGUGAGUAACGCGUAGAUAAUCUGCCUGAUGAUCUGGGAUAACACUUCGAAAGGGGUGCUAAUACCGGAUAAGCCCACGACGGCCUUGGUCGUUGCGGGAAAAGGGGGGGACCUUUUGGCCUUCUGUCAUCAGAUGAGUCUGCGUACCAUUAGCUAGUUGGUAGGGUAAUGGCCUACCAAGGCGACGAUGGUUAGCUGGUCUGAGAGGAUGAUCAGCCACACUGGGACUGAGACACGGUCCCGACUCCUACGGGAGGCAGCAGUGGGGAAUUUUGCGCAAAGGGCGAAAGCCUGACGCAGCAACGCCGCGUGAGUGAUGAAGGCUUUCGGGUCGUAAAGCUCUGUCGAGGGGAAAGAAAUGUAUUGUGGUUAAUACCCAUGAUACUUGACGGUACCCCUAAAGGAAGCACCGGCUAACUCCGUGCCAGCCGCCGCCGUAAUAC
rnacentral:rRNA from 1 species